UACGGAGGGAGCUAGCGUUGUUCGGAAUUACUGGGCGUAAAGCGCGCGUAGGCGGCUUUGUAAGUUAGAGGUGAAAGCCUGGAGCUCAACUUCAGAAUUGCCUUUAAGACUGCAUCGCUUGAAUCCGGGAGAGGUGAAUGGAAUUCCGAGUGUAGAGGUGAAAUUCGUAGAUAUUCGGAAGAACACCAGUGGCGAAGGCGGCUCACUGGACCGGCAUUGACGCUGAGGUGCGAAAGCGUGGGGAGCAAACAGG
rnacentral:rRNA from 1 species